GUAUGUUGAUUUUAUUCAUUUGAUAAUGAACUGUCUUAAAAUUUUUUAAACAUUCAUAGUGUCCCAUGCUAGAGCAACCCGUGGCCCUGAACCAUUGCCUGGCCUCUGUCAGUAGGCUGCUGGCACUGAAGUGGGUAGCACAGUA
ensembl:snoRNA